UACGUAGGGCGCAAGCGUUGUCCGGAAUUAUUGGGCGUAAAGAGCUCGUAGGUGGUCUGUUGCGUCCGCUGUGAAAACCCAGGGCUUAACCCUGGGCUGGCAGUGGAUACGGGCAGACUAGAGGUAGGUAGGGGAGAAUGGAAUUCCCGGUGUAGCGGUGAAAUGCGCAGAUAUCGGGAGGAACACCGGUGGCGAAGGCGGUUCUCUGGGCCGAUACUGACGCUGAGGAGCGAAAGCGUGGGGAGCGAACAGG
rnacentral:rRNA from 1 species